CUCGAACUCCGAACGGGCAAGGAGCCGGGGUCGCCCGAUCGGACCCCGGACGUGAAGUCGACGAUGGUCGGUGGGCUGGUUUUGGUAAGCAGAACGGGCGAUUCGGGAUGAACCGGAAGCGGGGAGAAAGGGCCCGAGAUUGCGUCGACGCGGAUCCCGAAAAGGGCGUCGAUCCGUCGCGACAGCGGGACGGUGGUCAUGGAAGUCGAAAUCCGCUAAGAAGCGUGUAAAAACGUACCCGCCCAACGGAUCGGCCCCGAAAAUUGAUGGCGCUCGAACGCAACCCUCGAACCCCGCCGACGGAGGCUAGGGGAGGCCCCGUCGAGUAGGCGGACGCGCGGGUCGCUUCGACGCUCUCGCGCGAGCGGGGGCGGAGCGGCCCGUGGUGCAGAUCUUGGUGGUAGUAGCGAUCACCCAGGCGAGAACCCUGAGGGCCGAAGUGGAGAAGGGUUUCUCGAGAACGGCAC
rnacentral:rRNA from 1 species